rnacentral:rRNA from 1 species
CCUACGGGUGGGCAGCAGUGAGGAAUAUUGGUCAAUGGGCGCGAGCCUGAACCAGCCAAGUAGCGUGAAGGAUGACUGCCCUCCGGGUUGUAAACUUCUUUUAUAAAGGAAUAAUGUGAGGCACGUGUGCCUUUUUGUAUGUACCUUCUGACUAAGGAUCGGCUAACUCCGUGCCAGCAGCCGCGGUAAUACGGAGGAUCCGAGCGUUAUCCGGAUUUUUUGGGGUUAAAGGGAGCGUAGAUGGGUUGUUAAGUCAGUUGUGAAAGUUUGCGGCUCAACCGUAAAAUUGCAAUUGAUACUGGCAGACUUGAGUACAGGUGAGGUAGGCGGAAUUCGUGGUGUAGCAGUGAAAUGCUUAGAUAUCACGAAGAACUCCGAUUGCGAAGGCAGCCUACUAAACUGCAACUGACAUUGAUGCUCGAAGGUGUGGGUAUCAAACGGGAUUAGAUACCCGAGUAGUC